AAGCCUAUUGCUGCUUUUAAGGUACUCACGUUAGAUUCUGAGGAAGAAGCUCACAGCUCUUUAUUCCCUCAUCAAUCUUGGAACUUUGAUUAUGAAAACCUAGAUUAAAAUACUCUCUCUGCUUUGCCCCUUUUUAUUCACCUAGAGUACAGUUCUGAUUUCAGCUUCUGACAUCAGAAAUUGUCAGCUGCAUAUUCUAUUCUUCAGAGUGAUUUAAAGUCCUUGAUACUUUCUUUUAUCUGUAAAAACUUAUUGUAGAAUUUGGAAUUCUGUGUGAUGUUAAAGAAAAAUGUUAUCAUCUCUUAAUUGAUAUUCUCAGCUCUCCUUCUUCACUUUUUGACUCACAUCCUCUGCUUUUCUUCUUCAUUGCACUCUAAUCUUGAAGAAAAGCCUUCUUUUUUUU
rnacentral:misc_RNA from 1 species